UGGGGAAUUUUGGACAAUGGGGGAAACCCUGAUCCAGCCAUCCCGCGUGUGCGAUGAAGGCCUUCGGGUUGUAAAGCACUUUUGGCAGGAAAGAAACGUCAUGGGUUAAUACCCCGUGAAACUGACGGUAUCUGCAGAAUAAGCACCGGCUAACUACGUGCCAGCAGCCGCGGUAAUACGUAGGGUGCAAGCGUUAAUCGGAAUUACUGGGCGUAAAGCGGGCGCAGGCGGUUCGGAAAGAAAGAUGUGAAAUCCCAGAGCUCAACUUUGGAACUGCAUUUUUAACUACCGGGCUGGAGUGUGUCAGAGGGAGGUGGAAUUCCGCGUGUAGCAGUGAAAUGCGUAGAUAUGCGGAGGAACACCGAUGGCGAAGGCAGCCUCCUGGGAUAACACUGACGCUCAUGCACGAAAGCGUGGGGAGCAAACAGG
rnacentral:rRNA from 1 species